UAGGGAAUCUUCUGCAAUGGACGAAAGUCUGACCGAGCAACGCCGCGUGAGUGAAGAAGGUUUUCGGAUCGUAAAACUCUGUUGUUAGAGAAGAACAAGGACGUUAGUAACUGAACGUCCCCUGACGGUAUCUAACCAGAAAGCCACGGCUAACUACGUGCCAGCAGCCGCGGUAAUACGUAGGUGGCAAGCGUUGUCCGGAUUUAUUGGGCGUAAAGCGAGCGCAGGCGGUUUCUUAAGUCUGAUGUGAAAGCCCCCGGCUCAACCGGGGAGGGUCAUUGGAAACUGGGGGACUUGAGUGCAGAAGAGGAGAGUGGAAUUCCAUGUGUAGCGGUGAAAUGCGUAGAUAUAUGGAGGAACACCAGUGGCGAAGGCGGCUCUCUGGUCUGUAACUGACGCUGAGGCUCGAAAGCGUGGGGAGCAAACAGG
rnacentral:rRNA from 1 species